AUUAAUUUGGCAGAAUAUGCUUUAAAUUUAGAAUUUAACUAUGUAAUUUUACAAUUAAUA
rnacentral:tRNA from 1 species